AUUGAACGCUGGCGGCAGGCUUAACACAUGCAAGUCGAACGAGCGGCGGACGGGUGUGUAAUGUAUGGGGACUGCCCGAUAGCGGGGGAUAACUACUGGAAACGGUGGCUAAUACCGCAUACUAUCGGAUAACCCAUAUGGGAUUAGCUAGUAGGUGGGGUAAAGGCUCACCUAGGCGACGAUCUCUAGCUGGUCUGAGAGGAUGAUCAGCCACACGUGGACUGAGACACGGCCCAGACUCCUCCGGAGGAAGCAGUGGGGAAUAUUGCACAAUGGGCGCAAGCCUGAUGCAGCCAUGCCGGGUGUAUGAAGAAGGCCUUAGGGUUGUAAAGUUCUUUCAGCGGGGAGGCGUUACCCGCAGAAGAAGCACCGGCUAACUCCGUGCCAGCAGCCGCGGAAUUC
rnacentral:rRNA from 1 species